rnacentral:rRNA from 1 species
ACUCCUACGGGAGGCAGCAGUGAGGAAUAUUGGUCAAUGGAGGGAACUCUGAACCAGCCAUCCCGCGUGUAGGAAGACGGCCUUAUGGUUGUAACUACUUUAUACAGGAAGAAACGUACCCUCGUGAGGGUGCCUGACGGUACUGUAGGAAUAAGCACCGGCUAACUCCGUGCCAGCAGCCGCGGUAAUACGGAGGGUGCGAGCGUUUAUCCGGAUUUUUAUUGGGUUUAAAGGGUCCGUAGGCGGAUUAAUAAGUCAGUGGUGAAAUCCCAUCGCUUAACGAUGGAACUGCCAUUGAUACUGUUAGUCUUGAAUGAGGGUGCAGUGGUUGGAAUGUGUAGUGUAGCGGUGAAAUGCAUAGAUAUUACACAGAACACCGAUUGCGAAGGCAGAUCACUAACCCU